rnacentral:lncRNA from 1 species
GAGAGAGAGGGANAGGGGAGACUAUCUUAUAUAGUGGAAGACUUUGGGCGGGUAAAAGUCGUUGUGGUGGCUUGUAUAGGAAAGAGACGACAUCUCCAACCAAAUAGCCAAAAAGAAUUGUCAAAUCAAAAUUUGACAUCUGACGUGGAAUUGUCAAAAAAUGACAAAUUUUUACUUCGACCCAUUUUCAAAUUCAUAUAUCACUCAUCAUUUUUUUAUUAAGUAUUCAUAUAAAUCUUUUAUUUUAUAUGAAGAAAUAGGAAGAAGAGAGAGAUAAGGAAAAAGACAUAAGCUUUAGCAUUUCGGUUGAAGAAGAUUUCAGGAGUCUUUUAUAACUGUUAGGCUGACAUGUCCAGAGUAACUAAUCGGUUGGAGAUGCUUUGACACAUUAGGUUUUCUAGAAAUGUGAUUUUUUGGUCCUCCGUUUCGGUAGAAAGCCCCACGUGGCAACUUUUUAUAACUAAAAGGUGAAUAGUAAAACUUAACAAACGUCUUGAAACAAAAUUCUGUAACCCUUUCUCUGUCCCCACCCCUCAAUCUCACAAAUGCACUUUCACUUCUUUCCUCGCCAUACACCAUGAAGCGUCUUGUCCACCCUAUGUCCGCCACGACCAUUGCCAACGGUAGCAAGGACCCCGUUGUCACCGAGAGCCCCCGAAGGCGAUGACACUAGUGGCGGCGCCGAGGCCCCGACACCAGAAAAUUGAUCAUUGAGACCAAGAAGGCUCUGCAACUGCCUAAGUACCUAGAUCAUAAUGAGCUCAACAUUGUGCUUAGCACCAUUGAGUCGUUCGUGUUCACCUGAGAGCUCAACACUUUAUGAGUUAUUAUACUAUCAAUAAAUAAACAUUUAUUACUUUAGAAUUUUAUUAUAGCGAUUUACAACCAAAUUGAAUCAAAAUUAUUGUUUAGUUGAAUUAAAUGUACAACAUUGACAUCAACUAUUAUCAAAUUCCUUUUACACAUUUACAUAUAAUUAUACCAGGUUCCACAUCAACAACAAUAUGUUCAUAAACUUGUAAAAAUGCCAUAGAUUGAGUAUCACCUCUAAAAGAACUAAAAUUACCUAAAAUGUGAGUUCCUUUACCACAAUAUCUGUAAAUAUGGGUAUGCACCUAAUUAAGCAUGACUUCAUCAUGUCAGUAGCUUGGUUUACUUACAAUAAUUCAUUAAUUUUUUUUGUUAGUGACCAAUGUAUUUUUGUACCUCUAGCAUCUAUACACUAUGUUUGUAGUAUUUAGACUCCUUUUAUUAAGCAAACGUCGAUUUCCUAAUGAGUGGUGUUAGUAUGUCAUUUUUUUAAGGAAAAUGAUUCUAGGCCUUAAUAAGGCCUAAGAUUUUUGGCUUUAAUUUUAUGUGGCAUGACAUGUCACCUAAACAGAUCAUCAAUUAAAAAAAUCAUGUCAUUUCAUUCUUAAAUAAAAAUACAAUUUUAUCCUUCUGAAAUCCAAUGCUCUAGAUUAUUUUGUCUUUAUUUAUAAUAAAAUAUUUUUGAAGCCAUUUUUUUCAUUAUGUUCAUCAUGAUUAAAUUUAGGAGUAAAUGUUUGUGACACCCUGUAGUUUACACCUAAAAUCAGUUUUGUCCCUCACUUUUUUUUUUAAACUGGUAUACCCUUAUACUUUGAAUUCUCGACUGAUUUACCCUUUUCUCAGCUGGUUAUGACUGUGAUAUGCUUAUUAACAAUGCUUGUGAGAGCUUCAAUGGUUGGGUUUUGAGAGCAAGGUCUAAGCCCCCUAUUACUAUGCUAGAAGAGAUAAGAGUGAAGGGUUAUUUAGACUGNNN